UUUGGAACUGCAAGAGAAAUAAAUAUUUUGUGUUAUGUUGAGUAUAAAGAAGUUGAGCUGUUGACUAUGUGAUACAUCCGAAUAAGUUCGCGCAUGCAUUAUCUCGAUCGAGUGCAUACUUAUUGUAUGGUAAAUAUAUUUUAUCAAAAUAAUUUGCAAAAGUUAUACUUAAUGAUAUAAUCUGAAUAAGUGUGCAAAACUUGAAAACAUAAAAAUGUAAUUUUGCUACUUCAGUAAUUUGUUGUAUCAAUAUACCACGAAAGUAUUAAUUACAGAUAAUUUUUUAUAUCCUACAAAAAAAGAUGAUUACUCAUUCAAUAAAUUUUUUUAUGAUAUAGAAUAUCAUGUUUUCAUUAUUUAUUUAUGUAUAUUGUUCGUAAAUAAUUGUAGAAAAUCAAUUAUAUUUGCCUAAUAUGUUUAGAAAGAUAUAACAAAGAUGGUCGGAAUUUUGAAACAAGGUUAAGUAGAACAUAUGUUUAUCUGGCUUCUUGGAUAUUUAUGUUAAAAUUAUUUCGAAAACUCUGCUAGCAUAUGUAGUAAUUUAUUUUGUAUAUUUGUAACUAUAAUUAUUGUAUAAUUAAAGAAUAUGAUAUAAUUCA